rnacentral:rRNA from 1 species
UACAGAGGGUGCGAGCGUUAAUCGGAAUUACUGGGCGUAAAGCGUGCGUAGACGGUUUCGUAAGUCGGGUGUGAAAUCCCCGGGCUCAACCUGGGAAUUGCAUUCGAAACUGCGAGGCUAGGGUACGGAAGAGGGGAGCGGAAUUUCCGGUGUAGCGGUGAAAUGCGUAGAUAUCGGAAGGAACACCAGUGGCGAAAGCGGCUCCCUGGUCCAGCACCGACGUUCAGGCACGAAAGCGUGGGGAGCAAACAGG